UACGUAGGGUGCGAGCGUUGUCCGGAAUUAUUGGGCGUAAAGAGCUCGUAGGCGGUCUGUCGCGUCGGAUGUGAAAGCCCGGGGCUUAACUCCGGGUCUGCAUUCGAUACGGGCAGGCUAGAGUUCGGUAGGGGAGAUCGGAAUUCCUGGUGUAGCGGUGAAAUGCGCAGAUAUCAGGAGGAACACCGGUGGCGAAGGCGGAUCUCUGGGCCGAUACUGACGCUGAGGAGCGAAAGCGUGGGGAGCAAACAGG
rnacentral:rRNA from 1 species